GAGAAAGGAACAACAGUGCUCCUUUCAGCCUUGCAGGAUUUCAAUUCACAUGCUGUUCUGACUACCUGGGAGAGAUUGGAAGUUUCUCCACGUUGAGUUUUCCAAUCUGUUCCUGCAAACGUCCCACCUAUUUCCAGAGGGAGAAGUCAGAUAACGGGUCAGAUAAUUCCUCAGUAUGGACAUUGCCAUGGUGUCCUUUCAGUGAUGCCUAAAGCAUUUGCCAUGAAUUUCUGGUGAAAUUUGUGAAAAAUGCUUUCUCAGCCACUUCUGUGACGUCACCCACUGGCCUUUGGUGUGUGAGCAUUUCCAGGAACACAGGAGCUUUGCAGGACCAUGCCCUGGCCUCCUCUGUGGUGUAUUUACCACCUCAGAAAGAGUGAAGAAAACCUCACAAAAUUCAGAAUUCUUUUUAACAGUUGUUUUGCCAUGGAAGGAGAAAGAAACCCAACCUGAGCUCCCCCCGAAGUGGAUGGAGAGAGGAAGGCAUCUCCAGAAGGUGGUGAACUGAUCUCCCAUUUAAAGCAGGUCUGAGAAUUUAACCUGGUGACUCCUCUUGUUUUUGUGUGUGCAUGUUUGUGUGCUAUUCUUUUGGAUCACAGAAAUGAACACUAUGAUAAUCUGAACUAAAGUAUCUUUGCAAAGACCAUUCAACCCCCAUGGAAAAUCCAUCCGUCAGGACACUGAGGUUUAUGCCAGACUUGAAACACUGAAAUCAUUCCUAAAAAUCCAGCAUAUACUGCAGUACUUUGCUGAAUUUGGACCUUCCAGAGUGCAGAGAUGAAGGAUUUCUUUGCAGUCUUAAUUGUUUGUUUCAAUCCUAUUCAGACUCUCUCCUUGUUUUGUCCUUGAUAGAAAAAUGCAAUCCCUAAAGCUCCCUUUCAUCUCCUUGCUCUGUAAAUAAUUUUGUCCUAAG